UACGUAGGGUGCAAGCGUUGUCCGGAAUUAUUGGGCGUAAAGAGCUCGUAGGCGGUCUGUCGCGUCUGCUGUGAAAACUCAGGGCUUAACCCUGAGCUUGCAGUGGGUACGGGCAGACUAGAGUGCGGUAGGGGAGACUGGAAUUCCUGGUGUAGCGGUGGAAUGCGCAGAUAUCAGGAGGAACACCGGUGGGCGAAGGCGGAUCUCCUGGGCCAUA
rnacentral:rRNA from 1 species